GAUGUGGAGCGAAACUCAAAAAAUAAGUCUCAGUUCGGAUUGAAGGCUGAAAUUCGCCUUCAUGAAGCCGGAAUUGCUAGUAGUGGCAGGUCAGCAUACUGCCGUGAAUACGUUCCCGGGCCUUGUACACACCGCCCGUCACACCAUAAGAGUUGGGAAUACCCGAAGCCUGUGAGCUAACAUUUAUGAGGCAGCAGUCGAAGGUAGAAUCAAUGAUUGGGGUGAAGUCGUAACAAGGUAAC
rnacentral:rRNA from 1 species